rnacentral:rRNA from 1 species
UCGAACGAAGCAGAAGGAUGCUUGCAUCUUUUUGACUGAGUGGCGGACGGGUGAGUAACGUGUGGAGAACCUACCUUACACAGGGGGAUAACGGCUGGAAACGGCUGCUAAUACCGCAUAAGCAUACAGCUUCGCAUGAAGCCGUGUGAAAAGAAAAAUCGGUGUAAGAUGGCUCCGCAUCUGAUUAGCUAGUUGGUGAGGUAAUGGCUCACCAAGGCAACGAUCAGUAGCCGGCCUGAGAGGGCGACUGGCCACAUUGGGACUGAGACACGGCCCAGACUCCUACGGGAGGCAGCAGUGGGGAAUCUUGCACAAUGGGGGAAACCCUGAUGCAGCAACGCCGCGUGAGCGAAGAAGUAUUUCGGUAUGUAAAGCUCUAUCAGCAGGGAAUAGAAAAGAAGGUACCUGACUAAGAAGCCCCGGCUAACUACGUGCCAGCAGCCGCGGUAAUACGUAGGGGGCAAGCGUUAUCCGGAUUUACUGGGUGUAAAGGGAGCGUAGACGGCUGUUUAAGUCAGAAGUGAAAGCCCAUUGCUUAACGAUGGGACUGCUUUUGAAACUAAGGAGCUAGAGUGCAGGAGAGGUAAGUGGAAUUCCUAGUGUAGCGGUGAAAUGCGUAGAGAUUAGAAGGAACACCAGUGGCGAAGGCGGCUUACUGGACUGUAACUGACGUUGAGGCUCGAAAGC